rnacentral:rRNA from 1 species
UACGGGGGGGGCAAGCGUUGUUCGGAAUUACUGGGCGUAAAGGGCUCGUAGGCGGCCAACUAAGUCAGACGUGAAAUCCCUCGGCUUAACCGGGGAACUGCGUCUGAUACUGGAUGGCUUGAAUCCGGGAGAGGGAUGCGGAAUUCCAGGUGUAGCGGUGAAAUGCGUAGAUAUCUGGAGGAACACCGGUGGGGAAGGCGGCAUCCUGGACCGGCAUUGACGCUGAGGAGCGAAAGCCAGGGGAGCAAACGGG